GUAAUUUCUUAGGAAUUUCACUUUGAUCUUGCAGGAAUUUAUCGUAUUAUCAGCAUUUCUAAACAUUAGAAAAUCGGAAGCAAUGGCCCACUGUAGAGAUGGAUCCACUCAUGCCAUUUCCUGCUCAGCUGGUGUCCAGAAUGGAUGGAGCCUCAAUCCAUCGAACUCACAAAAAUGGUUGCCCUAGAACCAUUUUAUGGAGGAAAAAAUCACCUGUGACUACUACUGCAGGCAUUUGAAUGGAUCACGCCUUUCAGUGGAGAUGAGACAUCUCUCUUGUUUAUGUGAGGAUCCUCCUUCUUAUCCCAAAAGGAGAAGAGAGGGGACAAAAAGGAAGGAGAGACCUUCUCCCCUGUUGCACACAGCAGGGCCAUGGGAUGCCGCUGGAUGCUGGUGAUUCCAUUUAUGCCAUCUGGCACAGUGCCCCACAUUACCCUCAGAAUUAUGGAAUUAUCAACUACUUCACAGAUUAUACAGUGCUAAGUUUGUAAUUCUCAUCAUUUCUCAUUUCUUCUAAAUCUGCACAAUUAUUUGUAAUAAAAAUCAACCUUGACACUGCAAGGUAGUCACCAUAUGUAUUCAUAUUAAAUUCGCAUUUCAGUUAUUGGAAGACAUGCCUGCCAGCUGAUCUUAAUGCAAUAAUUUAUCACUUUUUAUUAUAAUAAUACCUCAGGAUUCUUACAAAAGUCACUGUGCUGAACUGAUGAGCUAGGGAAGGAAGAAAUGGCCAGAAGUCCAGAAUGCCAACCUCCUCUGUAAAUUAGGACUGAUCUUUUUCACAUUGCUAAACUGACUGCUGCACUAGCCAUGUGGCUGAGUGACGACAGAACUUGUUCAAGUAGGCAAAUAUUCAGUCAGUUCUGUAUUAUAUGAGCUAGAAAGACAUUACAAAGACAUUGAGUGCAUCUACAAGGCUCUAUCAUUCUCUGUCUUAACUUUACCUACUAUGAUCUCUACCUUCUUCCCAGCUCUCUCUAGAAGCUGAACAUUUCAAAGUCUUCCAUGUAGCCUGUUUAGCAGGCUUUCUCACACAUAGUUCUGGCUACAUAAAAAUAUGUGUUAAUUACUAACAAGCGUGUCAGUAUAACCAUUACACAAGAAAACAUAAAAAUGGUAAAACAAACAAACAAAAAAAAAAACCAUCCAGAUUUUCAAUUUAGUCUAUUUCAAGAAUAGAAAUAUUAUUCAAAAUUUACCUACUACAAAACAUUACUUCAUAUUAAUAUCAAUGAAUCAUUCUAAAAUAAAAAUAUAAUUAUAUAAGAACAGUGGAUCAUUCAGUUAGACUACAUGCAAUAAUAAACAACAAAGACCACAAAUAUGGUGGGACUAACUUGCCAAGUUGGCAGAAUAUUAUAUGUAAGCAUCCAAAAAGUGAAAGUGAUGUUUUCCGCUCUCUUUCCAUCUUCUGUUCUAACUGGGUGGUCCCAUAUCAUGACCCUGACAGCCUACACUGCUCAUUUGGGUAAGAGCAGGCAUGUCCGACUCGCAGCCAGCAUGCAGCCUGGCACAGCUGGCAAGGUCGCCUGGCCUCUGUCCUGUGAAACCUGUCCUCCACUGCUGCUGCAGCUCUGUCCCACUGCAUGGCCUGGCCCAGACACAGGAGUGCACCCAUCACUCAGCAACAACAAAACACCAGUGACCUAUUAAAACUGUCUGAGCUGAGACCAGGACAUGGGGAGGGCACAGUGCAGUGCUGACUCAAAUUAUAACAAAUAAUUGUAUGCAUUUUGGUUAGCUGGCUAAACACGGUCUUGUGAACAGCAAAAAAGUAUGCAGCCCUGCUUUCUGUUUUGAUAAAGGAACUUGAGAACAGGUUUUAAGAUAGCAAAAAAAAAAACCCCAUAUUUUUUAAUGUAUUUGUAACUCCAUUUUCAGACUACCUAAAUACAUUACCUCUGACUUUUCACAUGGAGUGUAUAAAGUUGCAAUCAGACAUUCAACUCAAAAAUCUGACCAUGUUGCUUUAUUUUUAUGAGACCUAUCCUGUCAGAUAAAACCAUCCCUCUCUUCACAAUAGCACCAUACUCAUGUCAUUGCUUUUUGGCAGUAUGUAUAUUUGUGAACAACUAUUUCCAAGGAUGAAAUACAGGAAGAAUAAUACUUCACCAAAAAAUCUGUGAUGAACACCUUGAGAACUCACCAAGAAUAGCAGUCACUACCAUCAAACCAGACUGAUGCAUUAAUUUAAAAAUCAGUGCCACAUAUCCUGUUUGUUCUGUUUUUGUUGCAUUCUUUGUUUUAAUAAAAAUAUUUAUAAGAUUAUAGUAAGUUUUGUUACUUAUAUACAUGACCUAUGUUACAUAUUGUAUAAAGGAUGCUCUGAAAGUAAUGCCUGCUUUUUUAUGAUGUUGGCCCACAAUGUCAGAGGUAGAUGUUGGUUGUUUAGCAGUAGAGGCUGAAUCUUUCCACCGAUAUCCCAUUACAUUUUGUUGCUGUGUGAUCGGUGGCAGCAGAAGGGCAGUCUGACAAAGUAUUCUGACAUGGAAAUGCAUAUGAAGAAGAGAUGUGUCACUGAAUUCCUCCUUGAGGAAAAAAUGGCACCCAUUAACAACCAUAGACAAUGGUGAAUGUUUAUGGAGACAAACAACUGAUGUGAGCACAGUGAGCUGGUGGGUGGUACAUUUCAGCAGAGGUGACAGUGAGUCAUCUCUACUGUUGCAGAUUUUUACAAGUGCAGCAUGAAAGCUCUUGAUCACUGCUGGUGAAAAUGAAUAGCUAAUGGUGAUGACAAUGUGGAAAAGCAGAGUGUUGUAGCUGAGAUUUUUCUCUAUCAGAUAGUGUUAUUGUACUCUUUGUAUCAAUUGUAGUUGCCAUGGAAAUUGAUAGAAGGCAUUACUUUUGGAGCAAUCCUUGUGUAUGUGGCCCAAGAAAAUUCCUGUUCACUCAGUGCAGUCCACGUAAGCCAAGAGGUUGGACACCCACAGGUGACAGCAUUAUUGCAUGUUAUCCUUAGUUUUCCCUUCCAUAUUUGCUCACAGCCAAGGUAAAUUGUUGUAGGAGCUCUCUG
ensembl:lncRNA